rnacentral:rRNA from 1 species
GAUGAACGCUAGCGGCAGGCCUAACACAUGCAAGUCGAGGGGCAACGAGAUGGUAGCAAUACCAUUGUCGGCGACCGGCGAACGGGUGCGUAACGCGUGAACAACUUGCCGGACACAGGGGGAUAAUCGUCGGAAACGUCGUCUAAUAUCCCAUAACAUUGACAUGGGCCUCCAUGUUGAUUGAAAGCAAUUAUGCGGUGUCUGAUAGGUUCGCGUGACAUUAGCUAGUCGGUGGGGCAACGGCCCACCGAGGCGACGAUGUCUAGGGGUUCUGAGAGGAAGGCCCCCCACACUGGGACUGAGACACGGCCCAGACUCCUACGGGAGGCAGCAGUGAGGGAUAUUGGACAAUGGGCGGAAGCCUGAUCCAGCCAUGCCGCGUGAAGGAAUAAGGUCCUAUGGGUCGUAAACUUCUUUUGACGCAGAGCAAUAAGGGACACGCGUGUUCCGAUGAGACUAUGCGUCGAAUAAGCAUCGGCUAACUCCGUGCCAGCAGCCGCGGUAAUACGGAGGAUGCGAGCGUUAUCCGGAUUUAUUGGGUUUAAAGGGUGCGUAGGCUGUUGGAUAAGUCAGCGGUGAAAUCACCACGCUUAACGUGUAGUGUGCCGUUAGAAACUGUCUGGCUUGAAUGCGCUCGUCGUGAGAGGAAUGUGUGGUGUAGCGGUGAAAUGCAUAGAUAUCACACAGAACACCGAUUGCGAAGGCAUCUCACGAGAGCGUUAUUGACGCUGAUGCACGAGAGCGCGGGUAUCGAACAGGAUUAGAUACCCUGGUAGUCCGCGCUGUAAACGAUGAUGACUAACUGUUGGUUCCAAUGGGAUCAGUGGUCAAGCGAAAGCGUUAAGUCAUCCACCUGGGGAGUACGGCCGCAAAGCUGAGACUCAAAGGAAUUGACGGGGGCCCGCACAAGCGGAGGAUCGUGUGGCUCAAUUCGAUGAUACGCGAGGGAACCUUACCCGGGGCUCGAGCGGCGGAUGAAAUAUGUCUGAGAGAGCAUAGUCGCAAGACACCCGUCGACGUGCUGCAUUGACUGUCGUCAGCUCGUGCAGUGAGGAUGUCGGCUUGA